UCUCCGUUGGUGAACCAGCGGAGGGAUCAUUACAGAGUUGAAAAACUCCCAAAACCCAAUGUGAACCUACCCAGUUGCCUCGGCGAGAGCCACCGCGGGGGGGAGACCCCCCCGGGAGCCCGCCGGCGGACCGCGAAACUCUUGUUUUUCUUACCCGAGGCCCUCGUGCCGUCUGAGCGUGACAAACAAAAUGAAUCAAAACUUUCAACAACGGAUCUCUUGGUUCUGGCAUCGAUGAAGAACGCAGC
rnacentral:misc_RNA from 1 species